UACGUAGGGCGCGAGCGUUGUCCGGAAUUAUUGGGCGUAAAGAGCUCGUAGGCGGUGUGUCACGUCGGCCGUGAAAACCUGGGGCUUAACUCUGGGCGUGCGGUCGAUACGGGCAUCACUAGAGUUCGGCAGGGGAGACUGGAAUUCCUGGUGUAGCGGUGAAAUGCGCAGAUAUCAGGAGGAACACCGGUGGCGAAGGCGGGUCUCUGGGCCGUAACUGACGCUGAGGAGCGAAAGCGUGGGGAGCAAACAGG
rnacentral:rRNA from 1 species